UCUAUCAAGAAACUCCAGUUCACAUCUAUUAGGAAUUUCUUGUAUCUUCGUUUCAUGAAGAUUAUCUUUCUCUUACAUAAACAUCUCAUUUGCUCUUAAAUGAACAUUUUUACUGAUUAUAAACUUCUUGUCAGUGGGGUGUCACCUCUUGAAACCCUUUACCCCUUUUAUGAAGCCAACAAACAUGCAUUUAAUAGCUCUUGCCUUUAGUUUUCCUUGAUUUUGAUGGACAUACACUACACAUUCAAAUACCUUGAGAUCACUUAGAUUUGGAGGGUGGUUGGACCAUUUCGCCUCAGGUGUUAAGAAUCCUAAAGAAGUAUGAGACCUUCUAUUCAGUGUGUACAUAUAGCAUAGGCAGUUGAUCCAAUCCAAAAUUUUUCUUCUAGGACAGCAUCUGACAGUAGGCAUCUUUCUCUUUCCAUGAUUGUUCUAUUGAGUCUUUCUGCCACCCCAUUUUGUUAAGGUGUGUAUCUCACUAUUUUAUGUCUUGUGAUACCAUUUUUCCGACAGAAAAUAUUAAAUACCUCUCUACAAAACUUCAAACCAUUGUCAGUUCUAAGGUACUUGAUUUCUUUAUCAGCUUGUUUUUCUAUCAUUAGUUUUCACUCUUUAAAUUUUUUAAAAAUUUGAUCUUUUAAUUUUUAAGAAAAUAAAUCCAGAUUUUUCAAAGGAUAAGAUGUAUCUUAAGCCACUUAGGCUUGGAGUUGAGGGUGGAUCCCAUAGAUCCGAAUGGAUGUAGUCUAGGAUUCCUUUAGUUGUGUGUUGUACUUUGGUGAAGCUUUGUUUUUUUGCUUUGCCUAGCACACAAUGUUCACAGAAAGAUAACUUACUGUUGAUUUCUUAAGGUAGGAUGUCUUGUUUGGAUAGAGCCUCAAGCCCCUUUUGGCUUAUGUGAGAUAGUCUUUUGUGCCAAAGAUCAACCUCAGUUAGAUUUAGAGCAGAAACCACGUUAGCUUCCUUUAACAUUUCAACCUCUUUAAUUAUAAAAAGAUCAUUUACCUUUUCUCCAACCAAUACUACUCUAGAGUCCAUAAAAUCUUGAAAACCCCCACCUUUUCCUUUGUAUUCAUAGCCUAAAGAGUCUAGCAUUCCUAGAGAAAUGAGAUUUCUUUUAAGGUGAGGAACAAGUGUAACAUUUUUGAGAAGCUUCACAGUCCCAUCUUUUAAUUUCAUGGUGACCGAUCCAAUAAAAACUGACUCUCCAUUAAUUUCUUUAUAUGUGUUGAACCAAGUAUUAAAGGGUGUCAUAUGGUAUGUGCAACCAAAAUCUAGAACCCAAUCAUGUUUUCUAAAGGGGUAACAUGAUUGGCUUGGUCUUGAGUUGAUGCCAAAACAUCAACAUAGGAGUUUUCCGUGGGAAGAGAUUAAAGGGUUUGAUAGAGAUCAUCGAGUCGAGUUGUAAAAAUUAACAAAUCAAGUUUUUUCUUCUUUCUUCAACUUUACCAAAGAGCAAUCAACAAUAGGAGCUUUUGAUUCCUGAAGGAAGGUUGAAGAGUUAUAGAUAGUGACAUAUCAUUUCAAGGAUAUCUCUUCUUCUUUUUUUCUUUUCCUCUAUUUUUCUCUAUCUCAUUCUUCGUCUUUCCAUAAGAUUUUUCUAAUUCUCCAACGGAGUUCUUUUCAACUAUCAACACGUACUAUGACUCUAUCUUAAUUUUCAAGACCUCUUUUAUUGUUGUAGUCUACUUUCAAAACAUCACAGAGAGAUAGGAAGAAACGUGUCUGAGGUUUGAAUUUUGUUUGUUUGUUUUGAAUUUUCUGUUUGUUAUGUUUGAAUUUUUGCUGAUUCUGUUUUUUUUUUUUUUUUUUUGCUGAUCUAUACACUCCUUUAUUCUUCUGUUUGUUUGUUUUUUUUUUGCUGAUUCAGUUUGAAUUUUCUCUAUUCCAUUACAAAUGUCGAGUGCCUCUGUUCUUCAUGUUAUGAUUGAAUAAGUGCGAGUUAUAUCUACAACUUGGUUUUAUGAAUUGUUUGAGGUUACAUCACACGUUUUAGACUCUAACUUUGGUCUAUUUGUUUUCAACGUACGACUCUAAAUUUGGGAGCAUAGUAGUCACAUAUUCAGUAUGUUGUGUUUAAAUGAUUAUUUGAAUUAUUUUCUACAAUUCAACUAAUCAAAGUAUUAACUCUAAUAUUUUAAUUGGGUUUCAUAUCAGAUUGAUACAAGGAGCCCAUAUAGUCAAUUCGAGUUGGAUGAAGUGUGCAUGGAGCUUGCUGAUUUUCUAGGUGGCCACGUUUGCUUUAUGGUUAUUAUAUUUUGGGUUAGAUAGACAAAUUUUGUUGAUAUACUGGAUAUAGGUAUGAUAUUUUGUUGAUAUGCUUGAUAUAGCUAGGAGAAUUAGUUUAGUUGAAAUUUCAUUGAUACAUCUAUAGUUAGGCUACACAUAGAUGGAAAGUUUAGGCUGUUGUUAGAAGUAUAGGCUAACUACAUUUAUGUAUAUGCUUCAUUGAUAUAUAUAUAUAUAUAUAUAUAUAUAUGCAAUAUGUUAAAGUAUUAUUAGUUCUUUGAUAGAAAAAGUUUAGUUGAUUCAA